rnacentral:sRNA from 2 species
AACAAUCUCACUAUGUGUAAAUAAAACACACAUGUAUCGACACAUACGCCGGGGUGCCUUGAAAGAGGUCGGUUGUAUGGGAUACAUGGAGGCCCAACC